rnacentral:rRNA from 1 species
CCUACGGGUGGCAGCAGUGAGGAAUAUUGGUCAAUGGGCGCGAGCCUGAACCAGCCAAGUAGCGUGAAGGAUGACUGCCCUACGGGUUGUAAACUUCUUUUAUAAAGGAAUAAAGUGAGUCACGUGUGCCUUUUUGUAUGUACUUUAUGAAUAAGGAUCGGCUAAGUCCGUGCCAGCAGCCGCGGUAAUACGGAGGAUCCGAGCGUUAUCCGGAUUUAUUGGGUUUAAAGGGAGCGAAGAUGGGUUGUUAAGUGUGUUGUGAAAGUUUGCGGCUCAACCGUAAAAUUGCAAUUGGUACUGGCGGACGUGAGUGCGGUUGAGGUAGGCGGAAUUCGUGGUGUAGCGGUGAAAUGCUUAGAGAUCACGAAGAACUCCGAUUGCGAAGGCAGCUUACUAAACUGCCACUGACAUUGAUGCUCGAAAGUGUGGGUAUCAAACAGGAUUAGAUACCCUUGUAGUC